UCCCCUCCAAAAGCAAUGGGGUCAAGGUAAAAGGUCAAGGUCAGAUUCUGAAUUUGUAGUUUGAAAUACGACAGUUCGUUUUUAUGUGUUUGAUGUUUGAGCUUGUGAUUUUGCGCUUUGACAUUAAAAUUUCUGUUUUUAAUUUUCAUUGGAGCUAGUUAAUUUUGCUUUUUCAUUUUUUAGAACUUACAACUACAAACAAAUCCCUAAAUAGUUCAUUAAUGAAGGUUUCAUUUAAGAUAGAACAUGUCAUAAAAGUUGAAGUUUUGAUAAAAAGAUUAACAAUAAAUGAUAGCGAACGAUUUAUUUAUCCUUUUUGAUGUAAUGUAUGCUUUUUCCUAACAAAAAAGUGUAGAUACUUGGUAGGCUCGUGAUUUAGAACGCCAGGUGUGUAUUGACUAAUACAAGAUUCGUAAAGGUUGCUCAAGUCAAAACCGUCGGAAGGACAAAAUAUCAUAAAAUAUCAUAAAAUAUUUAUUCGCUGCGUCCGAAGCACACUAACAGCAUUUCGGUGUUGACAUGAACAUCAAAUAUAUGGUUAUUUUUAUAAUUUUUCUGUUAUCAAACUUUGUAUUUUUCGAAAAACUAAGGAUUUUUUCUUGUUCCAGGCAUAGAUUACCUAAGCCGUAUUUGGUACAACUAUUUGGAAUUUUAGGUCCUC
rnacentral:lncRNA from 1 species